AUGGGAAAAAGCAAUUCAAUUCUAAAUGAGCAAGCCUUCAACACAGAUGCAAGAUCAUACUUGCAGAAUUUCAGAUGGCAUGGAGGACUUGUCAACACCAAAUUUUCAUGGACUUACCCUUCCUAUGUCAAAGGUACUGCAAUCACAUCUCAUGGAGCAGAGUGGAAAGUUAAUUGGCUGUGCCAGUCUGUCAAGAAGAUGCAUGUUAAAGCUCUUGCGGGAUUGAAGGAGACUUGCACUGGAAAUUACACCAUCAGCUUUCCUGGUUCUCAAGCCUUCAAACUUGGACUAGAACUUACCAUCAGCACCCCUGCCAACUCCUUGCCAUCUGCAAACCUUGGACUUCUUAUCUUCUACAUUUAUUUGUUUUCUCUGCCUGAAGCAGAAACAAGGAAAAAUAUUGCUGAAAUCAAGGAAGGAGAAGCCCCUUUGACAAAGGAGUGAAAGUAGCUUCCAGUGCUACAAAGAACCCAGCAAGAUGAAAAUAUACAGUGACUCUGAGAAGGGAAGCAACUUCUCCACAGAAACAAUGCUCUGAAAAAACAAAGCUGGAACUCAAAAUCAAAGAUCCUUUUUCUGAAGCUGGAGGUUUUCUCACUAAACCUCUCAUUUCUUCUGUAGGAACCUCUGUGAAUAAACCGGCCUCUGUAAACA
rnacentral:lncRNA from 13 species